GAUGAACGCUGGCGGCGUGCUUAACACAUGCAAGUCGAGGGGUAACGAGAGGAAAGCUUGCUUUCCUUGUCGACGACCGGCGCACGGGUGAGUAACGCGUAUCCAACCUGCCCCCAACUAGGGAAUAACCUUGCGAAAGUAAGACUAAUACCCUAUAAUUUCCUCAGAUGUCAUCUGACGAGGAAUAAAGAUUUAUCGGUUGUGGAUGGGGAUGCGUCUGAUUAGCUUGUUGGCGGGGUAACGGCACACCAAGGCAACGAUCAGUAGGGGUUCUGAGAGGAAGGUGCGCCAAGUUGGAACUGAGACACGGUACAAACUCCUACGGGAGGCAGCAGUGAGGAAUAUUUGUCAAUGGGCGGAAGUCUGAACCAGCCAAGUAGCGUGCAGGAUGACGGCCCUAUGGGUUGUAAACUGCUUUUAUACAGGAAUAAAGUUAGCCACGUGUGGUUAUUUGUAGGUACUGUAUGAAUAAGGACCGGCUAAUUCCGUGCCAGCCGCCGCGGUAA
rnacentral:rRNA from 1 species